ensembl:lincRNA
CUCGCGCCUGCCGCGGGGCGCACCGGGCGCGGCGAGGCGGCCGUGCAGCCGCUGGCGGGGAGGGGGCGGCCGCUGGAGGUAAGAGCCGGGCUGCCGAUCGGGUGGGAGCGGCGCGGCGGCCAGGCCUGCGGCCAGUCUCCAGAGCCCCGGGCAAGGCUGGGGGGCUCCUCUCCCGGCCCUGAGGGGGCGAUGCUCCGGGCCUACCGCGAUCGGGUCGCCCCCACCCCCGCUGCGGCGCCGGCCUCCCGCCGCAGCUGCCCUGACCGCUUGGGUGGGAGCAGACUGGGGCCGGCUUCUGCCCUGGCCGGCACCCCACCACCGUGGGCUCUGGGGGCCCGGGGCCAGCAGGGCAGGGGAGGCAGAUGAUCAGCGCCCCCACCACCCCGAGGCCUGGCCCAGGAGCCCCUGCCCACUCCUCACCUUCCGCUUCUGGGCUCCGCAGUGGGCGUGGUGCCCCCCUCUGCUGCAGAGGGGGGGCGCCCUGGAGUUGAGGAAGGCCGUGGGGGAGGAGAGCGCAGAGACAGGUGGUUGAGGGGGCGAGCGAUGGUGCGGGAAGGCUUGUGAUCUUAAUGCCUAUUUCUUUCUCGCCCCUUCUUCGCGGUGGGGUGGGGGGCGGAGGUGCGCGUGGAGGAGGAGGCGGGAAGGCCGGAGGCUUUAGGCUCGGGAGAGGCAGGCGCAGCCAGAGAUGCCACCGGGCAAAUGUCCCUGUUAGAUGCCCGCCGCCCCCCAAAUUAAUGACGUGGGUGUGGCGGUGCAGAGGAACUGCAAAUGACAGAGCAGAGGGAAGGCUGGCCCAGCCAAUCCCGGAGCCGCUGCAGCGCCGGUUCCCCGCACACACUGUGGUGCAGGGACAGAGAGGAGGGGGCGGCUGGCCCCGCGCCUCCCCUGCCCGGGGCCCCCGGCCGCUCCCCGGGGAGGAGGGCAGCUGGACGGAGGCUGCCUGGGGCCAGGGUGCAAGGGUGCAGCCGCACCUCCCUGCUGCCCGGCGUGGGAAGAAGAACGCGGAGCCAGUUGGGGGAGUCCCGUGUUCCUGGGGCUGGCGUCUGCCAGGCCACCGACCGUCUGCUGCCUGGCUCCAGCUGCCCGCCCACGGCGGCAUCUGAGUCUACAUCUUCACGUCACCUCUGUCAGGACCUGCCCUCCAGCACAGGCUGUCCCCGGCCCUUGUCUCUUGGAUUCUCACUUGGCACGUGGUGUGGCGUUGUGUCCUUGGGAGUGUUUGUGGUCACUGCUGGGGCCUUGUUUUGCUUCAGCUCAGCAGUCUGGGCAGAAGUGCCAUGGUCCCCCCGGGUGGGGAAUUUGAUGGGAGAAACCCCACCAUGGUUCUGGGGCCCUUGUUCCUAG